UACGUAGGGUGCAAGCGUUGUCCGGAAUUACUGGGCGUAAAGCGUGCGCAGGCGGUUCGUUGUGUCGGUGGUGAAAUCCCCGGGCUUAACCUGGGAAUGGCCAUGGAAACUGGCGAACUGGAGUGUGGCAGAGGGGGGUGGAAUUCCGCGUGUAGCAGUGAAAUGCGUAGAGAUGCGGAGGAACACCGAUGGCGAAGGCAGCCCCCUGGGCUAACACUGACGCUCAGGCACGAAAGCGUGGGGAGCAAACAGG
rnacentral:rRNA from 1 species